rnacentral:rRNA from 1 species
CCUACGGGAGGCAGCAGUGGGGAAUAUUGGACAAUGGGGGCAACCCUGAUCCAGCCAUGCCGCGUGUGUGAAGAAGGCCCUCGGGUUGUAAAGCACUUUCAGUGAGGAAGAACGCCUGGUGGUUAAUACCCAUCAGGAAAGACAUCACUCACAGAAGAAGCACCGGCUAACUCCGUGCCAGCAGCCGCGGUAAUACGGAGGGUGCGAGCGUUAAUCGGAAUUACUGGGCGUAAAGCGCGCGUAGGUGGCUUGAUAAGCCGGUUGUGAAAGCCCCGGGCUCAACCUGGGAACGGCAUCCGGAACUGUCAAGCUAGAGUGCAGGAGAGGAAGGUAGAAUUCCCGGUGUAGCGGUGAAAUGCGUAGAGAUCGGGAGGAAUACCAGUGGCGAAGGCGGCCUUCUGGACUGACACUGACACUGAGGUGCGAAAGCGUGGGUAGCAAACAGGAUUAGAUACCCAGUAGUC